GUAACCUUAUUUCUUUCAAAAAUAAUGAAAACUACCAACCAGGUGCGAAAUCUUCGGGCCAUUAAACAUAAAUAUUCCCUUUAAUCCCGCUGCUGUUACUGCGCUACGGUUACAAAUAAAGGAGGAAAACAUCCCUUCCAUUUUACCUGUGCCAUCUACUCUUUCAACUUCUGCACUGUAGUCCUAGCGCCACCACUGCCCGAUCCUCGACCUCUA
rnacentral:lncRNA from 1 species